GAGACAUUUUCAGGCAUAGAGCUGACAAAAAUACUCUAAAUAUUUUUCCUAAAAUGUGCCUAAACUAUAAAAAUAAAUAUUCCCUGCUGUACAAGGAUUGUUCACAUUUUUUUAUCCCUGAGAUUGUACACUCCUAAACAAUGAUUGCGAUUGAUUCGAAAAUAGAGUAACCUGGAAAGAAACUUAGUUUAGUUUGGUCUAAACCAUAUAGGUCGGUGGUAAGACUUCAUCAGAAGAGCUCUCUCAGGACCUCUGAAGAACGAUUGAUGCUUGUGAUUCCAGAGUUAAAGAACCAUUUAAGCCAUUUGAAGCCAAUAAUUCCAAUGGAUAUUCUACAUACAGUAUUGAGAAAAUUCCAGACAACUGGGAAGACUGAGGCAGGCAGAAUUCAGCCAAGGAGCCAACAAGAUGCUCAAAGAAAUUUCUAUGAACCCCAGGGUAUUAUCACGGGAUCUACAAGUGACCCCUUCUACAAUCAAUGUCCAAUAGCAUGACCCAACUGUAAGAAACCGUACAUACAUGGACUACCUGGGAGGUCAGAAGGGAAGAAAACAUCUGGUCUUAUAAAUAAUGUAAAUGCAUGAUGACGUUUGUCAGACAACACCUGGUUGAGGAAAAUUCUACUGCAAUGUGCUCUGGACAGAAAAAUGAAAGGUGGAGUUAUUUCACCACUAUGCCUGAAGUCAUGUUUAGCUAAAAACAAAACACUGCUUGUGAACCAUAAAGCAUGGUGGAAGGAGCAUUAUGGUUAGGGGCGGCCUGAGGGUCUGACCAGCUUGCAAUCAUAGUCAACUAUAAAUUACACAUUGUACAAAGAAUACUUGAGAACCUUCUUGACCUGAUGCAAACUGAGCAUGCAAAAAAAAUUCUAAAAUCACACAGUUGGAGCAGUUUUCCAAGGAAAAGAGCACAAACCCCUGCCUGCUAACUUAAACGCUUAGAUAGUUAGCAGAAACUUAAAUUAUUGCCAAAAGCUAGGGAUGUUUUAGUCUUUCCACACAAGGAAACUGCAUUUCUGUACAUUAGUUAAAUUAAC
ensembl:lncRNA